GGACAUGUGGCUUAUCUUUACACGCGAAGAACUUACCUGGGUUUGACAUGCACAGGACGCCGGCAGAGAUGUCGGUUCCCUUGUGGCCUGUGUGCAGGUGGUGCAUGGCUGUCGUCAGCUCGUGUCGUGAGAUGUUGGGUUAAGUCCCGCAACGAGCGCAACCCUUGUCUCAUGUUGCCAGCACGUCAUGGUGGGGACUCGUGAGAGACUGCCGGGGUCAACUCGGAGGAAGGUGGGGAUGACGUCAAGUCAUCAUGCCCCUUAUGUCCAGGGCUUCACACAUGCUACAAUGGCCGGUACAAAGGGCUGCGAUGCCGUGAGGUGGAGCGAAUCCUUUCAAAGCCGGUCUCAGUUCGGAUCGGGGUCUGCAACUCGACCCCGUGAAGUCGGAGUCGCUAGUAAUCGCAGAUCAGCAACGCUGCGGUGAAUACGUUCCCGGGCCUUGUACACACCGCCCGUCACGUCAUGAAAGUCGGUAACACCCGAAGCCGGUGGCCUAACCCUUGUGGAGGGAGCCGUCGAAGGUGGGAUCGGCGAUUGGGACGAAGU
rnacentral:rRNA from 1 species